rnacentral:tRNA from 1 species
CAGAAAAGAGUCUUUUGAUAUUUACUUUGGGAGUAAAAGGAGUGCUUCUGA